AUACGGAGGAUCCGAGCGUUAUCCGGAUUUAUUGGGUUUAAAGGGUGCGCAGGCGGGAGAUUAAGUCGGCGGUGAAAUUUUGCAGCUCAACUGUAAAAGUGCCUUCGAAACUGGGUUCCUUGAGUGUGGAUGAAGUAGGCGGAAUUUGUGGUGUAGCGGUGAAAUGCAUAGAUAUCACGAGGAACUCCGAUUGCGCAGGCAGCUUACUAAACCAUAACUGACGCUCAGGCACGAAGGCGUGGGGAUCAAACAGGAUUAGAUACCCUGGUAGUCCACGCAGUAAACGAUGAUUACUAGCUGUUUGCGAUACAAUGUAAGCGGCUGAGCGAAAGCGUUAAGUAAUCCACCUGGGGAGUACGUUCGCAAGAAUGAAACUCAAAUGAAUUGACGGGG
rnacentral:rRNA from 1 species